GACGAACGCUGGCGGCGUGCCUACUACAUGCAAGUUGAGCGCUGAAGGUUGGUACUUGUACCAACUGGAUGAGCAGCGAACGGGUGAGUAACGCGUGGGGAAUCUGCCUUUGAGCGGGGGACAACAUUUGGAAACGAAUGCUAAUACCGCAUAAAAACUUUAAACACAAGUUUUAAGUUUGAAAGAUGCAAUUGCAUCACUCAAAGAUGAUCCCGCGUUGUAUUAGCUAGUUGGUGAGGUAAAGGCUCACCAAGGCGAUGAUACAUAGCCGACCUGAGAGGGUGAUCGGCCACAUUGGGACUGAGACACGGCCCAAACUCCUACGGGAGGCAGCAGUAGGGAAUCUUCGGCAAUGGACGAAAGUCUGACCGAGCAACGCCGCGUGAGUGAAGAAGGUUGUCGGAUCGUAAAACUCUGUUGGUAGAGAAGAACGUUGGUGAGAGUGGAAAGCUCAUCAAGUGACGGUAACUACCCAGAAAGGGACGGCUAACUACGUG
rnacentral:rRNA from 1 species